rnacentral:misc_RNA from 1 species
GAUGAAGAACGUAGCGAAGUGCGAUAAGUAAUGUGAAUUGCAGAAUUCCGUGAAUCAUCGAAUCUUUGAACGCAAAUUGCACUUUCUGGUAUUCCGGAGAGUAUGCCUGUUUGAGGGUCAGUGUAAUAAAAAUAAAUCGUGGUUACCACUUUUCGUGGUGACGCUUCGGAAUUGAGUCGUCUUACCUUCGGUUAAGUGACUUAAAAUUUUUUCAUACGAUUUCGAAACGUAUUUAAUGUAUUAUGUAUGUUCACGAAUAUCGAAUGUUUAUUAGGUGCGGUCAUUUUCAUGAAUUCGCGUCUAUAAUUUUUUUUUUUUGACCUCAAAUCAGGUAAGAAUACCCGCUGAACUUAAGCAUAUCAAUAAGCGGAGGA